rnacentral:rRNA from 1 species
UACGUAGGGCGCGAGCGUUGUCCGGAAUUAUUGGGCGUAAAGAGCUCGUAGGCGGCUUGUCACGUCGAUUGUGAAAGCCCGAGGCUUAACCUCGGGUCUGCAGUCGAUACGGGCUGGCUAGAGUGUGGUAGGGGAGAUCGGAAUUCUGGUGUAGCGGUGAAAUGCGUAGAGAUCGGAAGGAACACCAGUGGCGAAGGCGGCUACCUGGACAGAUACGUGACGCUGAGGCGCGAGAGCGUGGGAGCAAACGAGG